GACUCCCUCUAACUCCUUUCCUCUCUCCCUCCUCCUCCUCCUCAUCUCUCCCUCCUCCUCAUCUCUCCCUCCUCCUCCUCCUCUCGUACUGGUCCUGUGCUCUCCCCGUGGUGAGGCAGUCCGGCGGAGCGAGAGCGAGAGCGAGUGUGUGUGUGUGUGUGUGUGUGUGCGUUCCUGUUCCUGUAUCAGCGCUGGGAUACCAGUCAGCAGCAUGAAACCUUGAAUCCGAUCGAGACUGGACACAGUGUAACAGGCAACACGGCAACAGAGUGUGACUGCUGCAAAGAGAUGUGGAGUGUGUGAGCGCGCAACAACAGCAGUUACUGAACACACCUUCUCCCCACAUACUCGUGAAGGUUCACUGGACACAGCACACAACAGACCAGCGUUUGAACAGCACAGACACGGCUGCCAUAUCUGAGGGUGCCGCGACCUACAGCUCAUCCGUCUGUACAUGGAGACCACGAGCUGGGCAGAAUUUGGGUCCCUUAAUCUGCGUUGGAUUUAAUG
ensembl:lncRNA